UACGGGGGGGGUAAGCGUCGUUCGGAAUUACUGGGCGUAAAGGGCUCGUAGGCGGCCAACUAAGUCAUACGUGAAAUCCCUCAGCUUAACUGGGGAACUGCGUGUGAUACUGGAUGGCUUGGAUUUGGGAGAGGGAUGCGGAAUUCCAGGUGUAGCGGUGAAAUGCGUAGAUAUCUGGAGGAACACCGGUGGCGAAGGCGGCAUCCUGGACCAAUAUUGACGCUGAGGAGCGAAAGCCAGGGGAGCAAACGGG
rnacentral:rRNA from 1 species